UUGCAGAGCAGAGGAGAGCAUGCUGCGAGUGGCUUCGACGAGGUCAUAGGAGUAGUAGGCGGUGCUGGGCACUCUGUUUGGCACCUCGGCCCCGUGGAAGACACUCCCGGCUCUGUAGCCUGGAAACUCCGGGUCUGUUGGGUGCACAUACAGCUGCAGGCACAACAGAGCCCUCAAUUAACGCAUGGACUCUGCUGUGGCUUGUCUUGGGUGAAACUGCUGGCCGAAGACAGCCAGCAGAAGUGUGCGCAUGCAUCGCGGCAUCACAGAAGUGUUCUUUCACUGACUGAGUCAGUAGAACGGUCUCACACACGCCCAUAGUAUCUUAGGGCCUUCUAUGUAUUUGGCACGAGUAUCAUUUUCAUUAUCACCCGCCUGUCCAGUCCGUGAGAAUCACAUUCGUGGCAGCAGCAUCCCCUAUGACAGGCUUCCAACCUUUCAUGCCGUUGGCAAAUUAAGAAGAGCAGAAUGGUGAGGAGUUUGCAGCGCACCGUGAAAAGAUGCUGCUGCUGUGCAAUGUAGCGGUGGAUCCCGUGCUCCUCUCGGCAGGCAUUCAGCACAGACUCGCGCUCUGUCUGUGUGGAGGUGCAGUUUGUGCUCUCCCCACAGGGCAUCACUAUCUGCCCCUCAACCUCUUGCAGCCACAGCUUCCACAGCGUCUCCUGCGCAGCACAUCAGACACUCUCGACCAUCACAUCAUUUCAUCG
rnacentral:lncRNA from 1 species